GUUUUUUAAAAAAAUGAUUGCUGUAGGAGAUUAAAAAUGGUAAAGACUAGCAGCAAAAUAUAGCCUGUCUAAGACCUGGACUUUAGACACCUGGUAAACAUCAACUAGGUAAAGGAAAAAAGAAGUAGAUCUCCAGGAAUCAAGAGGGACCUGACAGGAAAACUAGAAAAUAGGAGAAGUUGGAAAAACUGAAUGCCACACAUCGAAAAGAAUGAAAUAGCAUGAGAGACUAACCCCAGAUCCUGGGAAAAGGGACUUGUCUCCUGUAAUACACGGGUGAACCCCCCGCUGCAGAGGAGCUCGUGUCUCUCAGGCUGUCAGAAUGUAGAAGCUGCUGCAGAAGCCGGGGAGGGGGUGUCGAAGAAUCUCCUUGACAGCUCCCAUUAAGUGAAAUACGAGGUGAAACAGAAUGAAAUAAAAUUGGGAAUGAGAU
rnacentral:lncRNA from 1 species